GGAGUUAGCCGGUGCUUCUUCUGUGAGUGAUGUCCUUCCUGCCGGCUAUUAACCCGCAGGCCUUCUUCCUCACUGAAAGUGCUUUACAACCCGAAGGCCUUCUUCACACACGCGGCAUGGCUGGAUCAGGGUUGCCCCCAUUGUCCAAUAUUCCCCACUGCUGCCUCCCGUAGGAGUCUGGGCCGUGUCUCAGUCCCAGUGUGGCUGAUCAUCCUCUCAGACCAGCUACGGAUCGUCGCCUUGGUUAGCCGUUACCUCACCAACCAGCUAAUCCGACAUAGGCUCAUCCGAUAGCGCGAGGCCCGAAGGUCCCCCGCUUUCCCCCGUAGGGCGUAUGCGGUAUUAGCCUGGGUUUCCCCAGGUUAUCCCCCACUACCGGGCAGAUUCCUAUGCAUUACUCACCCGUCCGCCGCUCGCCACCAGGGAGCAAGCUCCCCGUGCUGCCGCUCGACUUGCAUGUGUUAGGCCUGCCGCCAGCGUUCAAUCUGAGCCAUGAUCAAACUCUGA
rnacentral:rRNA from 1 species